rnacentral:rRNA from 1 species
UACGUAGGGUGCAAGCGUUGUCCGGAAUUAUUGGGCGUAAAGAGCUCGUAGGCGGUUUGUCGCGUCGACUGUGAAAACCCGAGGCUUAACCUCGGGCCUGCAGUCGAUACGGGCAGACUAGAGUUCGGUAGGGGAGACUGGAAUUCCUGGUGUAGCGGUGAAAUGCGCAGAUAUCAGGAGGAACACCGGUGGCGAAGGCGGGUCUCUGGGCCGAUACUGACGCUGAGGAGCGAAAGCGUGGGGAGCAAACAGG